rnacentral:ncRNA from 2 species
GAAUAGUUGCGCGGGAGCUGCUGUUAGCAGCUGAGAGGCUGGGUAUGACCCGGCGACCGUAUGAACCUGAUCUGGGUAAUACCUGCGAAGGGAGGUGUACGGCUUAAUAC